UACGUAGGGUGCAAGCGUUUGUCCGGAAUUACUGGGCGUAAAGGGCUCGUAGGCGGCCAACUAAGUCAGACGUGAAAUCCCUAGGCUCAACCUAGGAACUGCGUCUGAUACUGGAUGGCUUGAAUCCGGGAGAGGGAUGCAGAAUUCCAGGUGUAGCGGUGAAAUGCGUAGAUAUCAGGAGGAACCCCAGAGGCGAAGGCGGCGCCCUGGCUCGCAACUGACGCUCAGACACGACAGCAUGGGGAGCGAACGGG
rnacentral:rRNA from 1 species